rnacentral:rRNA from 1 species
GACGAACGCUGGCGGCGUGCUUAACACAUGCAAGUCGAACGGAAAGGCCAUGCUUUUGUGGGGUUCUCGAGUGGCCAACGGGCGAGUAACACGUGAGUACCUUGCCCUUGACUUCAGGACAACUUCAGGAAACUGCGGCUAAUACCGGAAUAGCGCUCCUGAUCCAACGUGGGGGUUGGAAAGGUUCGGCGGUUGGGGAUGGGCUCGCGGCUUAUCCGCUUGAUGGUCGGGUAGUGGCUGAAAAAGGCUUCGACGGGUAGCCGGCCUGAGAGGGUGACUGGCCAAAUUGGGACUGAGAUACGGCCCGGAGUCGUACGGGAGACAGGAGUGGGGGAGAGUGCCUGAUGCGCGGAAGUCUGAUGCAGGAACGCCGCGUGAUGGAUGACGGACUUCGUGUUGUAGAGCACUUAGGGCUGUGACGGAGAGUGAUUGACGGUAAUUGAUGAAGAAGCACCGGCUAACUACGUG